GAUCCCGAUCCGGAUCCUGAUCCGGCCCGGGCCUUACCUCGGCGCUCGGAUCGGCCAGGUGCACGAGACUCCCCCCUCCCCCCACCCUCGUGUCCCACGUGGCCGCUUCUUGUGCACGUGGUCAGACCCGCCUUUAGCCUCCCCCCGGGGGGGCUCCGGAAUCGCGACAGCGACAAUAUGUCGUCGCUCAUGACUGCCGUCGUGGACGAAAGCAGAAAUUCCAAGGUGCACAGGACUUGUCUUGGAUUGAACCGUGGCGCCGGGCGGCCUCUUGGUAGUGGAGUGUCGCUGAGCCCCUGGAGGCAGCAGGAACGACAGAACUGAUGGUUUCUCCUGUGGAAGGAUGUGUGGUGAGUCAAGCAGGUGGCUGUGGCGUGGCUGUAGGCUAUCCCUUGGACACCGUGAAGGUGAGGAUUCAGACUGAGAAGAAAUACUGUGGAAUUUGGCACUGCGUUCGAGAAACAUACAGAGCCGAGAAGGUGUCCGGGUUCUACCGAGGGCUGUCCCUACCGGUGUGCACGGUGUCCCUCGUCUCCUCCGCGUCAUUCGGAACCUACAGGAACUGCCUGUCCAACCUGUGCAGGCUGAAAUACGGCACUGCGGAUGUGAAGCCCGCCAAGGUGGACGUCUCGCUCUCAGGCUGUGCGGCUGGCAUCGUCCGGGUGGCCCUGACGGCCCCCACCGAGGUGGCCAAAAUCCGGCUCCAGACGCAGAAGCUGCCCCCGGCGACCGCCUCCGUUGGCAUCGUGGCACAGCCCAAGUACCAGGGCCCGUUGCACUGCCUGGCCACCGUGGCCCGGGAGGAGGGCCUGGCCGGCCUCUACAAAGGGAGCUCGGCCUUGCUCUUCCGGGACUGCCACUCGUUCGCCACCUACUUCCUGUCCUACUCCAUCCUGUGCGAGUGGUUCACCCCCAAGGGGCAGAGCAGACCAGGAGAUUUGAAAAGACGUGGAACACCAAUGCUCGAAAGAGUGUUCGGAGCAGGUACAGGCCCCUGGAGGCCACCUUCUGCUGGCAGUUCGCCAAUCCCUGGAGACCCCAUCUGUCUUGGUGAGCUGCUAGUCACCUCCCUUCAAGCAGGGGGGCUGGACUGGAUGAGCUCUUGAGAUCCAGCUCUCGAGGUCCUUGCAGUGCUCUGAUUUAGCCACGCUCCUCCCCAACCACUCUCCUAUCCCACUUCUUCCACUCCCGUCAGAGUUUUAAAGAAAUACGAACGGCAGCCCUUCCACCCCGCCACCCUUGAGCUGGUGCUGUCAGGGCCUGAAAACUGGGCCACUUUGGGCGGAUUGGAGGGAGAGAAGAGACUCUUCUGGGAGGCUUCUACUCGGGUGGGCCAACAGAUGCCGCCCAAUUAGCCGAACCCCAUUUCAUCUGGGUAAAGAUGUCCAAAGGUCACUCUCGAGCAAGACGCUACCUUCACUGUUCCGAUUGCAAAAUCGAUUUGGAGAGGAAAUGCGGUUUUCCCCACGAUCCUGUUCUCAGGCGUGAUUAUCCUUCAGGCGGCAACGCCUCGAGCUCGAGAGAGCCGUUUUUCUUUUGGUCUCAACACUGUCUCCUUGUUCCUCAGAGGUAACUUCAACCUUUCCACCCAGGUGGUGAGCCCUGGCCGGCUGGCACAGCCAGAUCACAGCCAGUUAAAUCAGAUUAGAUGACAAGAGAACCAUUUCGACAUGACAAAGAUGAAUGGGGCUAUUGCUAAGCAUCGGCUAGAGAAGAAAAACAUCCCCCCAGCUCUGUUACCUUGACUUGUGCUCAAGGGACAGAUUGGACACGUUGCUAUAAAAGGGGUGGUGUUUAAGAAGGACCUUUCUAAACAGGUUCUGCUGGCCAAUGACCUUACACCCUCCCUUCACUUGGCAUUGUGUUCUGUUUUGCCUUUGACUGGUAGAAUUAUGGCGUCUUGAGAAGCAGCAUGGUCUAAUGGAUAGAGCACGGGCCUGGGAAUCAGAGGACCUGAGUUCUAAUUCCAGCUCUGCCCGGAUCUGCUGUAUGACCUUAGGCUCCACCCUCAAGAGGACGCCACUGACUUGGAUGGCGGAAAGCUUUGGAACACUGUUCUCCGAAUGCUCAUUAUGAUUUCCUUCUGGGCCCUGGAAACCCCAGUGGUAUGAUCCAAUCCAUCAGUAGCAUUUUCUGAACACCUGUGUGUGGAAUGCAGUACUAAGCGCUUGGAGGACUGCAGCAGUGUUAGAAGUGUCAAUCCCUGCCUUCACGGAGGAUACAAUCUAGCAGGGCAGACAACCACAUCAUUCUUUCAUUCACUCAAUCAUAUUUGAGUGCUUACUGUAUGCAGAGCACUGUGCUGAGCGUUUGGGAGUACAGUAUAACAACAAACAAGCAGAAUGAUUAUAAGAGGAAAAAGAGAAUGGAAAAAUAGGUAUGUGGAUGAAUGGGAGUAGAGUAUAUGGCAUAAAGCUGGAGGGGAUGCUGCAAGUUGGAGGAAGUAGUUGGGAGGGUAUGACUUGGAAGAAGAAAAAUUAACUGAGGAACUGGAAUUUCAGAGGGGCCUUGAAAAUGGGGAGUGUUGUGGUCUGGUGGGUUUGAACGGGGAGGGGAUUCCAGGUAGAAGAGAAGGUGUCAGCAAGGGGUCAGAGGCGAGGAAGUUGAGAACGAGGCACACUGAGAAAGGUGAGCACGAGAGAAACAAGGACAGCGGGGAGGGUAUGUAGUGGCAGAAGUGGGUGGAUAAGUAGGCGGGAGAGAGUGCCUUAAACCAAGGGUUGGGCGUUUCUGCUCGAUGCAGAAGAACAGAGAGCCACUGAAGGUGUUUGAAGAGUCGGGAGAUGGUGCAGAACGACGUUUUUGGAUGGUGGUCCGAGCUGCAGAGUGCAGCCUGGACUGGAGAGGGGAGAGGCUGGAGGCAGGGUGACCUGUGGGGAGGCUGUGAGCACAUCUUAGGGCAGGAACAAGGGUUGUUGGCAUCGCAGUGAUACACUGUGUUAUACUUGCACUUAGUCCUCUCAUUUCCUGAACUCUAUCUGACCAUCUCUUCUGCCAUAGCUCCUUUUCCUAGCCCACAACUGCUGUCUUUCCGGCCACUUGAUGGAGCCUAAUGUAAGUCACCCACUAAAGUCUCAGGGCCCCAUUGCAUUGAGGGAAGCACAAGUCACUGGGAUUCUGCUUUUCCCAAGGCCCUAUUAAACAGCGACGGGAUCUUCCCCUAUUGCUCUGAGCACUCGUGUCCUUACUCUGCUCGCCUUAGACACGGUGGGAAACGGUGACAAAACUCUUUGCAGUGCCUUUGCAUAAUCAGAGAAAACAACUAACAUUCAACAGAAGACCGGAGGGAGACAGCAAGUCAGGCUGGAUUAUAUUUAUUGAUAAAUGGUACACCACAUAUAUAUAUCUGUCUAUAUGUAUAUAAAAGAGACAUUAUUGGAAGUCAAA